UACGUAGGGGGCAAGCGUUGUCCGGAUUUAUUGGGCGUAAAGAGCGUGUAGGCGGCCAGACAGGUCCGUUGUGAAAACUCGAGGCUCAACCUCGAGACGUCGAUGGAAACCGUUUGGCUAGAGUCCGGAAGAGGAGAGUGGAAUUCCUGGUGUAGCGGUGAAAUGCGCAGAUAUCAGGAAGAACACCCGUGGCGAAGGCGGCUCUCUGGGACGGUACUGACGCUGAGACGCGAAAGCGUGGGGAGCGAACAGG
rnacentral:rRNA from 1 species